UGAGUAACACGUAUGCAACCUGCCUGCCACAGCCGGAUAAUCGGGAGAAAUUCCGUCUAAUACGGCAUAAUGCAUCGACGGGACAUCCUGUUGGUGCCAAAGGUUGAUUCCGGUGGCGGAUGGGCAUGCGUCGCAUUAGUUAGUUGGCGGUGUAACGGACCACCAAGACGACGAUGCGUAGGGGUUCUGAGAGGAAGGUCCCCCACAUUGGAACUGAGACACGGUCCAAACUCCUACGGGAGGCAGCAG
rnacentral:rRNA from 1 species